GCCUGGGUGGCUCAGUUGAUUAAGUGUCUGACUUUGGCUCAGGUCAUGAUCUUGCAUGAGUUCGAGCCCCAUGUCAGGCU
rnacentral:tRNA from 1 species